rnacentral:rRNA from 1 species
CCUACGGGAGGCAGCAGUGAGGAAUAUUGGUCAAUGGACGAGAGUCUGAACCAGCCACGUAGCGUGAAGGAUGACUGCCCUAUGGGUUGUAAACUUCUUUUAUAUGGGAAUAAAACAGGGUAUGCAUACCCUCUUGUAUGUACCAUAUGAAUAAGGAUCGGCUAACUCCGUGCCAGCAGCCGCGGUAAUACGGAGGAUACGAGCGUUAUCAGGAUUUAUUGGGUUUAAAGGGAGCGUAGGUGGAUUGUUAAGUCAGUUGUGAAAGUUUGCGGCUCAACCGUAAAAUUGCAGUUGAAACUGGCAGGCUUGAGUACAGUAGAGGUGGGCGGAAUUCGUGGUGUAGCGGUGAAAUGCUUAGAUAUCACGAAGAACUCCGAUGGCGAAGGCAGCUCACUGGACUGCAACUGACACUGAUGCUCGAAAGUGUGGGUAUCAAACAGGAUUAGAUACCCCAGUAGUC